GUCCUGAAGGAACGUUGAAGACGACGACGUUGAUAGGCCGGGUGUGUAAGCGCAGCGAUGCGUUGAGCUAACCGGUACUAAUGAACCGUGAGGCUUAACCUUACAACGCCGAAGGUGUUU
rnacentral:rRNA from 1 species